AGGAUUGUGAUGAAGAGAAGAGUAUAUUUGAGGAAGAUUUUGCAGAGAGGUCAGUCAGGUGAAAGUGAUCAAUACAAAUCAAAUAGAAGAUGGUCUUGGAGCAUUGUGGUCGAAUGAUUAGAUUACAACGGGAAGUGCCCGUUACAGCACGACGGUAUGACGAGAAAUCAAGUACCGGUAGAGGUCAAAAUAGUGAUAUUUUGAUAAACAAAAGGUGGUAACGCGAUAAUUCGUCCUUUUU
rnacentral:ncRNA from 1 species